rnacentral:rRNA from 1 species
UACGGAGGGGGCUAGCGUUGUUCGGAAUUACUGGGCGUAAAGCGCACGUAGGCGGAUUGUUAAGUCGGAGGUGAAAUCCUGGGGCUCAACCCCAGAACUGCCUUCGAUACUGGCGAUCUUGAGUGUGGAAGAGGUUGGUGGAACUCCGAGUGUAGAGGUGAAAUUCGUAGAUAUUCGGAAGAACACCAGUGGCGAAGGCGGCCAACUGGUCCACUACUGACGCUGAGGUGCGAAAGCGUGGGGAGCAACAGG